rnacentral:rRNA from 1 species
UAACUUGGGCAAUCUGCCCUAAUGAGGGAAACAACCUGCCGAAAGGCGGGCUAAUGUCCCAUAAGACCACGAAAUGGCAUCAUUUUGAGGUUAAAGCUCCGCAAGGGGCGCAUCAGGAGGAGCCCAGGACCUAUCAGCUAGUUGGUGAGGUAACGGCUCACCAAGGCAUUGACGGGUAGCCGGCCUGAAAGGGUGAUCGGCCACACUGGCACUGAGACACGGGCCAG